UACAGAGGGUGCGAGCGUUGUCCGGAAUCACUGGGCGUAAAGGGUGCGUAGGCGGGUCUUUUAAGUCAGGGGUGAAAUCCUGGAGCUCAACUCCAGAACUGCCUUUGAUACUGAGGAUCUUGAGUUCGGGAGAGGUGAGUGGAACUGCGAGUGUAGAGGUGAAAUUCGUAGAUAUUCGCAAGAACACCAGUGGCGAAGGCGGCUCACUGGCCCGAUACUGACGCUGAGGCGCGAAAGCUAGGGGAGCAAACGGG
rnacentral:rRNA from 1 species